rnacentral:tRNA from 1 species
GGAGAGAUGCAGGAGUGGUUGAACUGGCCGCUCUCGAAAAGCGGUGUGGCGUUUCGUCACCGAGGGUUCGAAUCCCUCUCUCUCCGCCA